rnacentral:rRNA from 1 species
AACGAACGCUGGCGGCAUGCCUAACACUUGCAAGUCGAACGAGACCUUCGGGUCUAGUGGCGCACGGGUGCGUAACGCGUGGGAACCUGCCCUUAGGUUCGGAAUAACUCCCCGAAAGGGGUGCUAAUACCGGAUAAUGUCUUCGGACCAAAGAUUUAUCGCCUUUGGAUGGGCCCGCGUUGGAUUAGCUAGUUGGUAGGGUAAAAGACUACCAAGGCGACGAUCCAUAGCUGGUCUGAGAGGAUGAUCAGCCACACUGGGACUGAGACACGGCCCAGACUCCUACGGGAGGCAGCAGUGGGGAAUAUUGGACAAUGGGCGAAAGCCUGAUCCAGCAAUGCCGCGUGAGUGAUGAAGGCCUUAGGGUUGUAAAGCUCUUUUACCCGGGAUGAUAAUGACAGUACCGGGAGAAUAAGCUCCGGCUAACUCCGUG